CCUACGGGGCGCUGCAGUGGGGAAUAUUGGACAAUGGGCGAAAGCCUGAUCCAGCCAUGCCGCGUGUGUGAAGAAGGCCUUCGGGUUGUAAAGCACUUUCAGUGGGGAAGAAAGCCUUGGGGCUAAUACCCUCGAGGAAGGACAUCACCCACAGAAGAAGCACCGGCUAACUCCGUGCCAGCAGCCGCGGUAAUACGGAGGGUGCGAGCGUUAAUCGGAAUUACUGGGCGUAAAGCGCGCGUAGGCGGUCUGAUAAGCCGGUUGUGAAAGCCCCGGGCUCAACCUGGGAACGGCAUCCGGAACUGUCAGGCUAGAGUGCAGGAGAGGAAGGUAGAAUUCCCGGUGUAGCGGUGAAAUGCGUAGAGAUCGGGAGGAAUACCAGUGGCGAAGGCGGCCUUCUGGACUGACACUGACGCUGAGGUGCGAAAGCGUGGGUAGCAAACAGGAUUAGAAUCCGAGUAGUC
rnacentral:rRNA from 1 species